CUCUCCCUACGGGACGCAGCAGUGGGGAAUAUUGCACAAUGGGGGGAACCCUGAUGCAGCGACGCCGCGUGGGUGAAGGAGUACUUCGGUACGUAAAGCCCUAUCAGCAGGAAAGAAAAUGACGGUACCUGAGUAAGAAGCACCGGCUAAAUACGUGCCAGCAGCCGCGGUAAUACGUAUGGUGCAAGCGUUAUCCGGAUUUACUGGGUGUAAAGGGAGCGCAGGCGGCACGGCAAGCCUGAUGUGAAAGCCCGCGGCCCAACCGCGGGACUGCAUUGGGAACUACCGGGCUGGAGUGCCGGAGG
rnacentral:rRNA from 1 species